rnacentral:rRNA from 1 species
UUUCCGUAGGUGAACCUGCGGAAGGAUCAUUACCGAAGAUCGACAUGCUCUUAGGAACAGAGCAUCGUCGUGACCUAAUGUUGGUAAAUACCAACCGGCUGUGAGAGCAGACACAGUCGUGAUUCCGUGUGGUGAUGGCUUAACAAAAUGAACAGCAGAACUGGCUUAAUAAUGUUGGUAAAUACCAACCGGCUGUGAGGGGGCACAGUCGUGAUACCUACCAUGUGAACAGCAGAAUUGGUAUACUGAAGGGACUAGGGAGAGUCCCGAUAAUUAAACGAUGCAGAACUGGCUAACAAAUGGGACCGUCGCCGAAGCACGAGGGCUUCAAAACCCGAUUGCAAGGCACGAGGGCGGUCCAAACGUCGGCGGCAAAGGACAACCUGAUUGAAUACUUGUUGCAACUUCGGGGUACCUGUCGUGCUCACGGCGUCGAUUGACCGUAUUUGUCGGCGUCGUGCGGUACGAUGAGCAGGCCGCGGGAAACCCCCGCAGCUUUGCGAAGGUUCAAAGAAGCGCUGGUUCGCGUCGCGCACGCCGGUUGACCGUAUUUGCCGGAGUGUGCGGAGGCGACGUCGGAGGCGCUCGCCCCGAAGCCAUUUCUCUUGUCUUUCGUACGGUUGCUAUCGGUCGCCUGCCGGUCGACGGAGACCACCCUUGGCCGUCUCGGGGUGGACGACGUCGUGCCGGUACGGUGCUGCCCAGUGUGGAAAAUGAUACAACUCUAAGCGGUGGAUCACUCGGCUCGUGUGUCGAUGAAGAGCGCAGCCAGCUGCGUGAAGUAAUGUGAAUUGCAGGACACAUUGAACAUCGAUAUCUUGAACGCACAUUGCGGCCUCGGGUAUUCCCGAGGCCACGCCUGUCUCAGGGUCGGUUGAAAUUAUCUAUCGUCGGUUGACCGUAUUUGCCGACGCAUUGGACCGUCGCGGAGCGCUGACCGUAUAGGCGGCUCGAUCGGUUGACCGUAUUUGCCGAUCGCGCCGCCGCGUGCUCCACGUCGUCCGAAGUACAGACGGGUCUGCGCCUAAGCCUUGCCGACCGCACGUCCUAAGUCCGCCCUUGCGGACGGGGACGGCGACUCGGGACCGUAAGAGAAGCCGUUGCCCGUUACUCGGCGCGGUACGGUCGGUGUAGGCCGUGGCAUUGACCCACAAGAACGAUGAUGGACGUGUUCGACGGUUGACCGUAUUUGCCGUCGGCAGACGUCCUCUUCUUCUUCGACCUGAGAUCAGACGAGAUUACCCGCUGAAUUUAA